CCCUUAGAUGUUCUGGGCCGCACGCGCGCUACACUGACGAAUGCAACGAGCUUAUAACCUUGGCCGAAAGGUCUGGGUAAUCUCCAAAUUUCGUCGUGAUGGGGAUAGAUUAUUGCAAUUAUUAAUCUUCAACGAGGAAUUCCCAGUAAGUGCGAGUCAUUAUCUCGCGCUGACUACGUCCCUGCCCUUUGUACACACCGCCCGUCGCUACUACCGAUUGAAUGAUUUAGUGAGGACUUCGGACUGAGUCCAAUGCGGCUUUCGGGCUGCGUUGGUAUUUCGGAAAGAUGUCCAAACUGUAUCAUUUAGAGGAAGUAAAAGUCGUAACA
rnacentral:rRNA from 1 species